rnacentral:lncRNA from 1 species
CGCCGCUGUCACACUCGCACACACGCGCGCACGCAGAUGGCAACACCGCGUCCCGGAGCCCCUGCGCAGCCCAUUGGCCGGGCGGCGGCGGUAUGCAAAUGAGGCCGCCGGGGCCGCCCACGCCUCAUUGUUGCGUGGAGACCCGGGGGCCGCGCGGCGGGGUGGCGGGGCCGGCGUGGGGAGCUCCCGGGUGCGGGUCGGGGCAGACCCACGCAGGGCCGCCUGCGGGCGGGGGGCUGCAGCAUGGCCACGCGCGGGGAGGGAGGGCGCGCCUCUCCUGCUUCUGGGACUCGGUGCGAAACCUGCUCCUGCUCGCCCGCAGCACGCCUCCCCCAGGCGCAGUUUGGGUGGGGGUCGGUUUUCAGGCAGGGACGCUCCCCAAGUCCGCCUAGAGUGCUCGCUAAGCGCAGGGGUCUCCAAGGAGCUGUGAACCCCGUGCUCCCCACCCCGGAGGAACCACCACGAGUGGGACCCCGCCCCCUCGAGGCUGUGGACAGGAGUGAGCAGAAGCAUUCUUUCUGUGGUGUUGGAGAAGGUGAAGUGAGUGAGCCUGUGCCUUCCAAAGGUAGGAUAAUUGAAAAGUGUUCACAACAUAACCCAAGUAUGGGAAGAAGGCAGACACUCUUCAGGAUAAUAAAAUACAGAAGAUAUGCCAACAGCACAAGGUAUCUGGCAUAUUUGAGAUAAUCCACCUGGAUACCAGAUGACCAUAAUGGCCUUUUUCCAUCCCACCAGCAGGAUCUGAGGCUCCCUCCACCCUGUCUCCAGCAGUGGGUCUGGGCAAUCCAGAGAAAUCUACUCCAAAAGCCCCAUCCACUGACAGACAGUAUACACACAAGGCAAUGACCAGAGCAGCCAUUUUAGGGAGGAAACGAGGUAUUAAAAGACUGGGAGCAAGGGUGCUGGGGGCCAGGAAGAGUUCCAAAGGGAACUACUUCUGCUCAUGCACAGAGCAGGGUUAUUUCAGACUGAGAACAAGUGUGGAAGAGAUCCCAAGAAGACAACUAGACAUGAUUGUCUGUAGGGUGCCCUAAAACUCUAGGAAAAAAGACUUCCUAUUCAUGAAUGCUCCAUGCGGAUAAACCAAGUAGAUUAGUUCCCACCACCUCUUUGUACUCCAAACAGAUUGAUUCUGUCACUUAAACUUAAGACUAAGAAUCGAUUGAAGGAGGUUUUCAGCUGAACAAAGCAGCCAACAUUUAUCUCUGCCUCCACACAAAAUCUCACAAAAGGACAUUAAAGGAAUAAGAGAAUGGGAAGAGACGACAGGACCAGAGAUGUCAACCAAAUUUGGAGAAAGUGAACAUGGUUGAAUAAAUGACACUGACUUGGUUGAGCCA